rnacentral:rRNA from 1 species
UGUCGGGUAAGUUCCGACCUGCACGAAUGGCGUAACGACUUCCCCACUGUCUCAGCCAGAGACUCAGCGAAAUUGAAAUGCCGGUGAAGAUGCCGGCGACCCGCGGCAGGACGGAAAGACCCCGUGCACCUUUACUAUAGCUUAGUAUUGAAAUUGUUCCAUUAAUGUGUAGGAUAGGUGGGAGACUUUGAAGCUGCGUCGCUAGGCGUGGUGGAGUCGUCCUUGAAAUACCACCCUUUAAUUGAUUGAUUUCUAACUCGUAAGAGGACAGUGCUUGGUGGGUAGUUUGACUGGGGUGGUCGCCUCC